AACAAAUAGAAAGUUUCUUUCUUUAAUUUAAUUUAAAAGUAAAUAAAAUAUGUUUGUUAAAAAUAAAGGUGAAAUUUUUUUUUAAAUUAAAACUUUAAUAUAAAAUUAAAAUUCUUUUAAUAAACUAGGAUUAGAUACCCUAUUAUUAAAGAGCUAUAAAUUGUAAGUAAAUAACAAUUAUGAAAGCAAAAAAUUAUGGCGGUAUUUUAAGCUUUUCAGAGGAAUUUGCUCUAUAAUGGAUAAAACACCCUAAUCUUACUUAAAUUUGUUAAAACAGUUUGUAUACCACUAUAAAAUUAAUUAUUAAUUUUAAUUAAUAAAAUUUAAUUUUUUUUAAAAAAAAUUAAGUCAAGGUGCAGCAAAAAUUUAAGAAUGAAGUGAAUUACAAUUCUUAUUAGAGAUAAUUAUAAUUAAAAUUAUUUUAGGAUUUGAAAGUAAAAUUAAAAUAGAAUGUUAAUUUGAAUCAAGCUCUAAAAUAU
rnacentral:rRNA from 1 species